AAGAUGGACGGUUGUGGUGUCUUCUAA
rnacentral:piRNA from 1 species